rnacentral:rRNA from 1 species
AACGAACGCUGGCGGCGUGCCUAACACAUGCAAGUCGAACGGAAUCAAGGGGCUUGCUCCUUGGUUUAGUGGCGCACGGGUGAGUAACGCGUGGAUAAUCUGCCCUGGUGUCCGGGAUAACAUUUCGAAAGGGGUGCUAAUACCGGAUAAGCCCACGAGGUCUUCGGAUCACGCGGGAAAAGGUGGCCUCUAUUUAUAAGCUACUGUAUCAGGAUGAGUCCGCGUACCAUUAGCUAGUUGGCGGGGUAACGGCCCACCAAGGCGACGAUGGUUAGCUUGUCUGAGAGGAUGAUCAGCCACACUGGAACUGGGACACGGUCCAGACUCCUACGGGCGGCAGCAGUAGGGAAUUUUGCGCAAUGGGGGAAACCCUGACGUAGCAACGCCGCGUGAGUGAUGAAGGCCUUCGGGUCGUAAAGCUCUGUCAGAGGGAAAGAAGUGUAUUGUGGCUAAUACCCAUGAUGCUUGACGGUACCCUCAAAGGAAGCACCGGCUAACUCCGUGCCAGCCGCCGCCGUAA